rnacentral:rRNA from 1 species
ACGUAGGGUCCGAGCGUUGUCCGGAAUUACUGGGCGUAAAGCGCGCGCAGGCGGUCCGCGAGGUGUCACGUGAAAGCCCCGGGCUCAACUCGGGAGGGUCGUGGCAAACCGGCGGACUUGAGGCCGGUAGAGGUGGGUGGAACUCCUGGUGGAGUGGUGAAAUGCGUAGAGAUCAGGAAGAACACCCGUGGCGAAGGCGGCCCACUGGGCCGGAACUGACGCUGAGGCGCGAAGGCGUGGGGAGCGAACAGGA